rnacentral:rRNA from 1 species
UACGGGGGGGGGCAAGCGUUGUUCGGAAUUACUGGGCGUAAAGGGCUCGUAGGUGGCCAACUAAGUCAGACGUGAAAUCCCCCGGGCUCAACCCGGGAACUGCGUCCGAGACUGGAAGGCUUGAAUCCGGGAGAGGGAUGUGGAAUUCCAGGUGUAGCGGUGAAAUGCGUAGAUAUCUGGAGGAACAUCGGUGGCGAAGGCGGCAUCCUGGACCGGUAUUGACGCUGAGGCGCGAAAGCGUGGGUAGCAAACGGG